rnacentral:rRNA from 1 species
GAUGAACGCUGGCGGCGUGCUUAACACAUGCAAGUCGAACGGAAAGGCUCCUGCUUGCAGGGGUACUCGAGUGGCGAACGGGUGAGUAACACGUGGGUGAUCUGCCCUGCACUUCGGGAUAAGCCUGGGAAACUGGGUCUAAUACCGGAUAGGACCAUCGUUUAGUGUCGGUGGUGGAAAGUUUUUUCGGUGUGGGAUGAGCUCGCGGCCUAUCAGCUUGUUGGUGGGGUAAUGGCCUACCAAUGCGUCGACGGGUAGCCGGCCUGAGAGGGUGUACGGCCACAUUGGGACUGAGAUACGGCCCAGACUCCUACGGGAGGCAGCAGUGGGGAAUAUUGCACAAUGGGCGCAAGCCUGAUGCAGCGACGCCGCGUGGGGGAUGACGGCCUUCGGGUUGUAAACUCCUUUCGCCAGGGACGAAGCGAAAGUGACGGUACCUGGAUAAGAAGCACCGGCUAACUACGUG